UAGGGAAUCUUCCACAAUGGGCGAAAGCCUGAUGGAGCAACGCCGCGUGUGUGAUGAAGGGUUUCGGCUCGUAAAACACUGUUGUAAGAGAAGAGUGACAUUGAGAGUAACUGUUCAAUGUGUGACGGUAUCUUACCAGAAAGGAACGGCUAAAUACGUGCAG
rnacentral:rRNA from 1 species